UGGGGAACCUGCCCCAUAGUCUGGGAUACCACUUGGAAACAGGUGCUAAUACCGGAUAAGAAAGCAGAUUGCAUGAUCAGCUUUUAAAAGGCGGCGUAAGCUGUCGCUAUGGGAUGGCCCCGCGGUGCAUUAGCUAGUUGGUAAGGUAAAGGCUUACCAAGGCGAUGAUGCAUAGCCGAGUUGAGAGACUGAUCGGCCACAUUGGGACUGAGACACGGCCCAAACUCCUACGGGAGGCAGCAGGA
rnacentral:rRNA from 1 species